rnacentral:rRNA from 1 species
GAUGAACGCUGGCGGCGUGCCUAAUACAUGCAAGUCGAACGCAUAGCGAAAGGUGCUUGCACCUUUCAAGUGAGUGGCGAACGGGUGAGUAACACGUGGACAACCUGCCUCAAGGCUGGGGAUAACAUUUGGAAACAGAUGCUAAUACCGAAUAAAACUUAGUGUCGCAUGACACAAAGUUAAAAGGCGCUCCGGCGUCACCUAGAGAUGGAUCCGCGGUGCAUUAGUUAGUUGGUGGGGUAAAGGCCUACCAAGACAAUGAUGCAUAGCCGAGUUGAGAGACUGAUCGGCCACAUUGGGACUGAGACACGGCCCAAACUCCUACGGGAGGCUGCAGUAGGGAAUCUUCCACAGUGGGCGAAAGCCUGAUGGAGCAACGCCGCGUGUGUGAUGAAGGCUUUCGGGUCGUAAAGCACUGUUGUAUGGGAAGAACAGCUAGAAUAGGAAAUGAUUUUAGUUUGACGGUACCAUACCAGAAAGGGACGGCUAAAUACGUG